rnacentral:rRNA from 1 species
CAGUAGCCACGGUAAUACAGAGGGUGCAAGCGUUAAUCGGAAUUACUGGGCGUAAAGCGCGCGUAGGUGGUUUGUUAAGUUGAAUGUGAAAUCCCCGGGCUCAACCUGGGAACUGCAUCCAAAACUGGCAAGCUAGAGUAGGGCAGAGGGUGGUGGAAUUUCCUGUGUAGCGGUGAAAUGCGUAGAUAUAGGAAGGAACACCAGUGGCGAAGGCGACCACCUGGGCUCAUACUGACACUGAGGUGCGAAAGCGUGGGGAGCAAACAGGAUUAGAUACCCCUGUAGUCCCUGUCUCUUAUAC